rnacentral:rRNA from 1 species
GAUGAACGCUGGCUACAGGCUUAACACAUGCAAGUCGAGGGGAAACGGCAUUGAGUGCUUGCACUGAAUGGACGUCGACCGGCGCACGGGUGAGUAACGCGUAUCCAACCUUCCCGUUACUGCGGGAUAACCUGCCGAAAGGCAGACUAAUACCGCAUGUUCUUCGAUGACGGCAUCAGAUUCGAAGCAAAGACUCGUCGGUAACGGAGGGGGAUGCGUCUGAUUAGCUUGUUGGCGGGGCGACGGCCCACCAAGGCGACGAUCAGUAGGGGUUCUGAGAGGAAGGUCCCCCACAUUGGAACUGAGACACGGUCCAAACUCCUACGGGAGGCAGCAGUGAGGAAUAUUGGUCAAUGGGCGGAAGCCUGAACCAGCCAAGUAGCGUGCAGGAGGACGGCCCUACGGGUUGUAAACUGCUUUUAUGCGGGGAUAAAGUGAGGGACGCGUCCC